rnacentral:lncRNA from 1 species
UAACAUUUUCUAAAUUCUGUAUUAACAGAACUUUUAAUAGAAGAUUUCCUACAAUCAUUCAGAACCCCAGAUCCACAGUCUCCCCUUUGGCGACCUUUCACCAGACACCCUUUUCUUCUCCGCUCCAGUCUCUUCAGCAUUCUGGGCUUCAUUUCAGAUCUGUCCUUUGGAGACUCCCUGCAUUCCUCAAAGGAGUUCACAAAACCCAUGUAAAAACAGCGAUGCCAUACUCAUCAAAAAUGCACAAGAUAAAGGAUGGUAACUGAGACUUUGCAGAAUGUUAAAGAGUAAAUAAAACUACCAGCUCAGAAGAUCACCAGAAAAUAUUCUGAGGAAACAUUUAAUUAAAGGGCCCCAGGCCCAACUCAAUAAACUGG